rnacentral:tRNA from 1 species
GGGCGUGUAGCUCAGUUGGUAGAGCACCACCAUGACAUGGUGGGGGUCCCGGGUUCGAGCCCCGUCGCGCCCACUA